rnacentral:rRNA from 1 species
CCUACGGGGGGCAGCAGUGGGGAAUAUUGCACAAUGGGGGAAACCCUGAUGCAGCGACGCCGCGUGAGUGAAGAAGUAUUUCGGUAUGUAAAGCUCUAUCAGCAGGGAAGAAAAUGACGGUACCUGACUAAGAAGCCCCGGCUAACUACGUGCCAGCAGCCGCGGUAAUACGUAGGGGGCAAGCGUUAUCCGGAUUUACUGGGUGUAAAGGGAGCGGAAACGGUAGGGCAAGUCUGAAGUGAAAGCCCGCGGCUCAACUGCGGGACUGCUU